rnacentral:lncRNA from 1 species
ACCAUGGCAACUGCUCAACUAUGGCGAAAGAGAGAAAAGCUUUUUCCUAUAAAGUUUAUCGGACUCUGUGCUUCAUCCUGUUACUUACUCCAAUGAGAUUCUGAGCCCUGAAGAUGAUGAACUGGGCUGUGGACACCACAGAAGAGCAACUCUGUUGGACAUUGGUUUCUGUUCCUACUUAGCAUAAUGGUAUGGCACUUUCUGAAUCUUGCAGUGGAUCUUUAUGCACAUCCUUUUUGUUUUCUAAAGGCAUAGUUCUAGAGGAUAUUCCUCUCCAGGGUAGUAAAAGGCUUUUGCUUGUUUGUUUUCCCGGUAAGUUUAAGGGGAGAGUUAGGAAAAAAAAGGAGGUAAUUGCAUUCACAUCGUUUCUAUCUGUAUCUAUAAAUAUUUGAUAGAACUAAUUUGUCUAUGUGUCAAUAAAAGAAAAUAGAAAGCAUACA